GGGGCUAGGGAGUAAUUCAUAUGGGAGUAGGGGACUAGGGAGUAAUUCAUAGGGGAGUAGGGAGUAAUUCAUAGGGGAGUAGGGGACUAGAGAGUAAUUCAUAGGGGAGUAGGGAGUAAUUCAUAGGGGAGGGAGGGGCUAGGGAGUAAUUCAUAGGGGAGUAGGGAGUAAUUCAUAGGGGAGUAGGGGGCUAGGGAGUAAUUCAUAGGGGAGUAGGGGACUAGGGAGUAAUUCAUAGGGGGGAGUAGGGGGCUAGGGAGUAAUUCAUACCGGGAAGGGGACUAGGGAGUAAUUCAUACGGGAGUAGGGGACUAGGGAGUAAUUCAUACGGGAGUAGGGGACUAGGGAGUAAUUCAUAGGGGAGUAGGGGGCUAGGGAGUAAUUCAUAGGGGAGUAGGGGGCUAGGGAGUAAUUCAUACGGGAGUAGGGGCUAGGGGGUAAAACGACUGAGUGAGAUUAUAGGUGAGAGGUUAGGAUUUUGAUACAGUAGUGAAACCAUGAGAAUCCAAGACAUGGGGUCAGUAAAGCUUGUCCACUAGUACUUUACGGGGACAGUGAAAGAGUUAACUUCCAAAGGGUUAGAUGAGGCAGUAUCAGGCCUUAACUACAUACAGUGCUUAUAGAAAGUCUACACCCCCUUCAACUUUUUCACAUUUUGUUUGUCAGUGCCUCAGUUUCAUGCAUUUUUACAAAUAUAUCUACACGCCAUACUCUACACUUAAGGACAUUUUUUUUUAUAGUGAAAAAAGUAUUUAUUAAAAAUACAAAACUUAAAUAUCAUAAUUGGACAUGUCUCCACCCCCCUGAGUUAAUACUUGGUGGAAGCACCUUAGGCAGCCAUUACAGCAGUCUGUUGGGUUAGGUCUCAACCAACUUUGCACACCUAGAUUUGGCAAUAUUUGACCAUUCUUCUUUAUAAAACUGCUCAAGCUCUGUCAAGCUCCUUUGGGAGCAUAGAUGGACACCAAUCUUCAAUCUUACAUUUUUAAUUAAAUUUAGGUGGGACGCUCUGACUGGGCCACUCAAGGACAUUUACCUUUUUAUACCUUAAUCACUCCACCGUAGCUUUGGCUGUGUGCUUCAGGUCGUUGUCAUGCUGAAAAGGGGAACUUCCGUCCCAGUUUCAGCUUUCUUGCAGAGGGUAGCAGGUUUUCCUCAAGGACUUUUCUGUACAUUGCUUCAUUCAUUGCCCCUUCUAUCCUGAUAAGUGAGAAAAGUGAUGAUCUCUCUGUACUUUGCUCUGUUCAUCUUUCCCUUGAUCCUGACUAGUCUCCCAGAACCUGCCAAUGAAAAACCUCCCCAUAACAUGAUGCUACCACCACCAUGCUUCACAGUAGGGACGGUGUUCUUUGGGUGAUGGGUUUGCGGGUAUGAUGGGUAUUGG
ensembl:lncRNA